rnacentral:rRNA from 1 species
UAGUCCACGCCGUAAACGAUGAGUGCUAGAUAUCGGAAAUUAAACUUUCGGUUUCGUAGCUAACGCAUUAAAUCUUCCGCCUGGGGAGUACGGUCGCAAGAUUAAAACUCAAAUGAAUUGACGGGGGCCCGCACAAGCGGUGGAGCAUGUGGUUUAAUUCGAUGCAACGCGAAGAACCUUACCUACUCUUGACAUCCAGAGAAUUUGCUAGAGAUAGCUUAGUGCCUUCGGGAACUCUGUGACAGGUGUUGCAUGGCUGUCGUCAGCUCGUGUUGUGAAAUGUUGGGUUAAGUCCCGUAACGAGCGCAACCCUUAUCCUUAUUUGCCAGCGGUUCGGCCGGGGACUAUAAGGAGACUGCCGGUGAUAAACCGGAGGAAGGUGGGGACGACGUCAAGUCAUCAUGGCCCUUACGAGUAGGGCUACACACGUGCUACAAUGGACGAUACAAAGAGCGGCAAGCCAGCAAUGGUUAGCGAAUCUCAUAAAGUCGUUCGUAGUCCGGAUUGGAGUCUGC